rnacentral:rRNA from 1 species
GACGAACGCUGGCUGCGUGCUUAACACAUGCAAGUCGAACGCUGAAGCCAGAAGCUUGCUUCUGGUGGAUGAGUGGCGAACGGGUGAGUAACACGUGAGUAACCUGCCCCUGAUUUCGGGAUAAGCCUGGGAAACCGGGUCUAAUACCGGAUACGACCAUCCCUCGCAUGAGGGUUGGUGGAAAGUUUUUCGAUCGGGGAUGGGCUCGCGGCCUAUCAGCUUGUUGGUGGGGUAAUGGCCUACCAAGGCGACGACGGGUAGCCGGCCUGAGAGGGCGACCGGCCACACUGGGACUGAGACACGGCCCAGACUCCUACGGGAGGCAGCAGUGGGGAAUAUUGCACAAUGGGGGAAACCCUGAUGCAGCGACGCAGCGUGCGGGAUGACGGCCUUCGGGUUGUAAACCGCUUUCAGCAGGGAAGAAGCGAAAGUGACGGUACCUGCAGAAGAAGUACCGGCUAACUACGUGCCAGCCGCCGCAGUAA